UGGGAAUUUGGACAAUGGGCGAAGCCUGAUCCAGCAAUGCCGCGUGUGUGAAGAAGGCCUUCGGGUUGUAAAGCACUUUUGUCCGGAAAGAAAUCCUUGGCUCUAAUACAGUCGGGGGAUGACGGUACCGGAAGAAUAAGCACCGGCUAACUACGUGCCAGCAGCCGCGGUAAUACGUAGGGUGCAAGCGUUAAUCGGAAUUACUGGGCGUAAAGCGUGCGCAGGCGGUUUGCUAAGACCGAUGUGAAAUCCCCGGGCUCAACCUGGGAACUGCAUUGGUGACUGGCAGGCUAGAGUAUGGCAGAGGGGGGUAGAAUUCCACGUGUAGCAGUGAAAUGCGUAGAGAUGUGGAGGAAUACCGAUGGCGAAGGCAGCCCCCUGGGCCAAUACUGACGCUCAUGCACGAAAAGCGUGGGGGAGCAAAACAGGAUUAGAUACCCUGGUAGUCCACGCCCUAAAACGAUGUCAACUAGUUGUUGGGGAUUCAUUUCCUUAGUAACGUAGCUAACGCGUGAAGUUGACCGCCUGGGGAGUACGGUCGCAAGAUUAAAACUUAAAGGAAUUGACGGGGUCAUA
rnacentral:rRNA from 1 species